rnacentral:lncRNA from 1 species
UUCAUAGCAUUCUUUGAUAUCACCCCAAAAUCCAAAACUCACAAUUGCUGCACCAAAAUUCCAUUACAAAACCCACCCACCCAUUUUUAGUAUCUGAUUUUCGAAUCAUUUAUAUAUAAUUUUAUCCAAAGAAUCCAAAUUUUUACACUGGAUUUCCGAUUCCUGGGUGCCCCCUGUCUUUGUCCACCCACCAAGAUCAAUCUCUAUCUCUCUCUCCAUUCCACCUAAAGAAUAUACUCUAGAAAACCCCAAAAUAAUGACAAAAUGCUCUCAUCAUUAUCAUCUUGGUUGUAUAUAUGAGUGGAUGGAGAGAAGUGAAAGUUGUCCUGUUUGUAGCAAGGUCAUGGCAUUCGAUGAAACGACUUAAUCUUGAUUGACGCGUCGUUGAUGAAUCCAGUAGUAUCGUCGAUGAAUCCAACAACAUUAGUGAUAGUUCUUGAAAUUUUACUUGCAUUUGGCAAAAGUCAUUUAAGUAUAGCAUAGCACCAGUAGAGAGAGAACUUUCUGUACAGCUUAUUUAUGUUACCAUUGUUCUUUCUCUGGGUGUUAUUUUGCUGGUUGGUCUUUCAGCCUUUUAUGUAGAUGGAAUUUACUCAUUGACGCCCUCAAACCCUGUUUAAGUUGAAGUAAGGUUUUGCUCAGCAAAGGCUUGUUUCAGACUUCAGAGUCUUGGCAAUGAUUUUAGUCAUUGUAAUCUGGGUUAUUUUUCAUGUAAGCUCUGCGGUUACACUCAUGUCCUCUACUUCGGUUUCCAAUGAAGUCAACUCUCAUCUAUAUAUGCAACAGAUUUAAUGUUCUACUCAUCUAUUGUACCAUAAAAGGGGUGGUUAUAUACUUAUAUGAACAAUGUUCUCUUUUACAAAAUUUCUGUGUAAUAUUCUUGUCAUAGUGAAUAUAUAUC